CUACGGGUCGCAGCAGUGAGGAAUAUUGCACAAUGGGGGGAGCCCUGAUACAGCAACGCCGCGUGGAGGAUGACGCAUUUCGGUGUGUAAACUCCUUUUAUAUGUCAAGAAAAUGACGGUAGCAUAUGAAUAAGCACCGGCUAACUCCGUGCCAGCAGCCGCGGUAAUACGGAGGGUGCAAGCGUUACUCGGAAUCACUGGGCGUAAGGGACGCGUAGGCGGGUUGGAAAGUCAGGUGUGAAAUCCUACAGCUUAACUGUAGAACUGCACUUGAAACUUCUAAUCUAGAGUAUGGGAGGGGGAGAUGGAAUUAGUGGUGUAGGGGUAAAAUCCGUAGAUAUCACUAGGAAUACCUAAAGCGAAGGCGAUCUCCUGGAACAUUACUGACGCUAAGGCGUGAAAGCGUGGGGAGCAAACAGGAUUAGAUACCCCUGUAGUC
rnacentral:rRNA from 1 species